CCUACGGGCGGCAGCAGUGGGGAAUAUUGGACAAUGGGGGCAACCCUGAUCCAGCCAUGCCGCGUGUGUGAAGAAGGCCCUCGGGUUGUAAAGCACUUUCAGUGAGGAAGAACGCCUGGUGGUUAAUACCCAUCAGGAAAGACAUCACUCACAGAAGAAGCACCGGCUAACUCCGUGCCAGCAGCCGCGGUAAUACGGAGGGUGCGAGCGUUAAUCGGAAUUACUGGGCGUAAAGCGCGCGUAGGUGGGUUGAUAAGCCGGUUGUGAAAGCCCCGGGCUCAACCUGGGAACGGCAUCCGGAACUGUCAAGCUAGAGUGCAGGAGAGGAAGGUAGAAUUCCCGGUGUAGCGGUGAAAUGCGUAGAGAUCGGGAGGAAUACCAGUGGCGAAGGCGGCCUUCUGGACUGACACUGACACUGAGGUGCGAAAGCGUGGGUAGCAAACAGGAUUAGAUACCCCAGUAGUC
rnacentral:rRNA from 1 species